rnacentral:rRNA from 1 species
GGAAUCUUGCACAAUGGGCGCAAGCCUGAUGCAGCCAUGCCGCGUGAGUGAAGAAGGCCCUAGGGUUGUAAAACUCUUUCAGCGGGAAAGAUAAUGACGGUACCCGCAGAAGAAGCCCCGGCUAACUCCGUGCCAGCAGCCGCGGUAAUACGGAGGGGGCUAGCGUUGUUCGGAAUCACUGGGCGUAAAGCGCACGUAGGCGGAUCAGCAAGUCAGUGGUGAAAUCCCGAGGCUCAACCUCGGAACUGCCUUUGAAACUGUUGGUCUAGAGGUCGAGAGAGGUGAGUGGAAUUCCUAGUGUAGAGGUGAAAUUCGUAGAUAUUAGGAAGAACACCAGUGGCGAAGGCGGCUCACAGGCUCGAUUCUGACGCUGAGGUGCGAAAGCGUGGGGAGCAAAC